UUAAGAAGAGUUGAUCCGAAUUAGCAAUAUUAAUUGCGCUAUCUAAUAAUCGUAUUAGGCUAAAAGAAGGAUUAUCGGUUUUAUUACCCUUGUAUUUUAUCUAAGGGUGGUAAAACUUCCUAACGCGAUUUAGCAUACAGCUACAACACGCGUGCGUAUACAUGCACUGCAUUUAUUUUUAAAUAAGAAAUGUUCACCCAGGAGCUAGUUAUCUGUAUGGAAGACGAUUUGUUUACCUUAAUUUAAAGCUCAUUAACAGGCUAUUGUACUAACACUUGCUUUGGCUGCAUAUUCCUCAUAUAUUUAACAUGAAAUAUGUAUCAAAACUUUCCAAUAUCUGUUAGAAACAUAGUGAAUGAACUCUGCUUUGUUUUCAGAUAAUUUAAAUAUCUUUUGUUAUCUUUUAUAGCACCUCCAUGCAUCUCUUGUUCUUUUCUCUAAAACAUCACUUGCCUUGCUUUCAUCGUCUGUUUCUCGUACCGUGCCUAAAUUGGCAUUUAUUCGUUGAUAUAUGUGAACAGAGAUCGUGUUUCUCGAUCUACAUCAAUUUGAGUUAUUCCAGAGGNGUCCUGGGGGUCAUAUUCUCCAUCAACAAGUUUCCUUCCCUCCAAUUAACAUACAAAUUACCCAGACGCUUUUUGGUUCUUUGGAGUGAAAAGNCUUCAUAAGUNUUAAGUCAGANAGCUAGUCUUCUUACCAACCACUUCAGUGAACACGUCGCACUUCAGAAGAUACAUGUCUAUAUGCUUAGGUCGAACAUCUUGUACACAUCUCCCUAGAGUAUAACAUGGAUAGGGUAGCUAUUUGAUCAAUGUUCAACCACUCAGAGUUUAACAUAAUUAUAUAGCUUAUAUAUAGUUGAAUUAUAGCGCAUGUUCAGAUUUGGGAAACCAAACACAACCAAAACGUCUAUCAUUGACCUCUACUUGUGCAACAAGAUUCCCUUGCAGCUCAAUUAAAGGAGACUGAAAGAGCGUGAAGUUAAAUGCUAAUGUCAAGGCCAGAUCUGCAGUGUUUCGAUAAAAAGUUUAUAAAGUCUUAAGAGCCAGUCCGUCAUCCACAGUAACCACGUGUAUAAAUAGGCUACUGAAUUUGUAAUGCAAAUUGUGCCAAUUCUUAGCUUGCCAUAAAUAAGUGUUGAAGACCAACUAUACCUAAAACAUCACCAAUAUUGUAUAUAUCAUAUACACGAAAGAAGUCUACUAGCAUCAAGUCUGCACAUUACGUGGAGUUUAUCGAGGGCUUGUUAAAGCNAUGUCAUGCCAGCAGCGUGAGUUCUUGAUAGAGAUCAAACCAAUUUAAAACACAUUAGCGCAAAAGGGUCGUCAAGAAUUUGUCACUGCUUGAGUUGGGAAUGCACUGCUUAAUCCUUCUUGAGUCUCGCUGCAUACAUUGCUAAGGAGACACACUACAGAGCAACGGAAUGGAUGACAUUCUUAAAGCAAGCAAAACGUAAUAGAAAAGAUGUGAAGCGUGAAGCUGUUGUAUUGGCCUAUUAGACCAACGUUUAAGCUCCUGAACUCAAGUAUUUGUGUAAAACAGUUGUCGAUAAGAUCUACAAUGCGGUGGUUGCGAUUUUUUACUUCUUGGACGUUUAUCCUGGGAUGGACAUGGCUUUUUCGUGUUGUGAAUGGUGACCUAGUUAUAAUACGUAAAGUCAACAAAAAAGACAACUACCACAAGGACAGAUUCAACAUACGACGAUCAAAAUGCAUAGACAUUAGGCAAGGGAAUAAGUGUGGAUUUUACGGAGGAUUUGAACGUUCUCCUAAUAAUCCUUGCAAAUGUCACUGUCCUCCUAGAAGAGGGACGAUUAUUAAGAGAAAUAAACGAUGGAGGUGUACAAGUAAUGAAGUCUUCAGGCAACGAGAAGGUUGCGGAAUUUAUUUGUUGUACGAGUCUUCAGACUCUUUUGUAAAAAUCCUGAGUGGCACGAAAUGGCAGUCUUUCCAUGCAGCUACUUCAGGAUGCAACGUGAAGCGAAAAAAAUCAAGUUAUCUAUCCUGCAAUGGCUCUUGGACAAUAGAUCCNUAUAUGGGCAAAUUUGUGGANUUUUUAAGAAAAGGAUUUGAUCAGGUUGCCAGGGGAUACGCUUACCAAAUACGAGUAAGUAUUCCAUUAAACAGAAAC
rnacentral:lncRNA from 1 species